AUGCUGCAAUGGGAGUCCAGCGAUGCUGGAACCAGUAGCCAUGGUUGCUACAACCAGCAGCUGCCGGAGGUGAAGACGGGGGAUCCGGUGCUGCAACCGGAGAUAGUUUUUGCUGGAACUACAUGGCAAAAAAGCUACAACCACCAUGGACCGACGCUGGAACCAGAUGGUGUCGAAAUCAUUUUGCUGGGACCGGCAAAAAUAAUUGCUGGAACCGGCAAGAAUUUUUGCUACUACCGGGGGCAACUGCUACGACCGGCGACUGGUGGUGCUCUUUUUGCUGGAAUCGGCGGCGCUAAUUGCUGGAACCAGCUUCUUCGGGAGCUUCAAUGA
rnacentral:rRNA from 1 species